GAUGAACGCUGGCGGCGUGCCUAAUACAUGCAAGUCGAGCGAACAGACGAGGAGCUUGCUCCUCUGACGUUAGCGUCGGACGGGUGAGUAACACGUGGAUAACCUACCUAUAAGACUGGGAUAACUUCGGGAAACCGGAGCUAAUACCGGAUAAUAUAUUGAACCGCAUGGUUCAAUAGUGAACGACGGUUUUGCUGUCCCUUAUAGAUGGCUCCGCGCCGCAUUAGCUAGUUGGUAAGGUAACGGCUUACCAAGGCAACGAUGCGUAGCCGACCUGAGAGGGUGAUCGGCCACACUGGAACUGAGGCACGGUCCAGACUCCUACGGGAGGCAGCAGUAGGGAAUCUUCCGCAAUGGGCGAAAGCUUGACGGAGCAACGCCGCGUGAGUGAUGAAGGUCUUCGGAUCGUAAAACUCUGUUAUUAGGGAAGAACAAAUGUGUAAGUAACUAUGCACGUCUUGAGGGUACCUAAUCAGAAAGCCACGGCUAACUACGUG
rnacentral:rRNA from 1 species